rnacentral:rRNA from 1 species
CCCUUAGAUGUUCUGGGCUGCACGCGCGCUACACUGAAGCUAUCAACACGUUUUCCCUCCCUGAGAAGGGCGGGUAACCUUUUGAAUCAGCUUCGUGGUAGGGAUCGGGGCUUGCAAUUGUUCCCCGUGAACCAGGAAUUCCUAGUAGACGCGAGUCAUAAGCUCGCAUCGAUUAAGUCCCUGCCCUUUGUACACACCGCCCGUCGCUACUACCGAUUGAACGUGUUAGUGAGGCAUUUGGACCGACGCAUCUCAGUUUAACCGCUGGUUUGUGUUGGAAAGACUUCCAAACUUGAGCGUUUAGAGGAAGUAAAAGUCGUAACA